CUGGAAAAGUAGAUUUUUGAAAAGGAAAUGUUAAGGGAAUGGGAUUAUAUAACUCAAGCAAAAAUGACAUUUUAGUUUAACUUAGGAACAGAGUUUGUUAUGUUGCUGUAAUAUAAAAAUUCUUGUCAACUGGGGGAGAAAAUAAAUUUAUGGUGGAUUGGCAUCUAAAUAACAAGUUCAAACAUAAGCUUUCCUUUUGUUUUAUUUCAGAAACAAUAAAUGCUAACUUUCCAAGUAGUUGCUGGUUAGCUUGCCGCCAGAAUUUUGGUAGAUUUCAUUUGCUUCAAUCCUGGUGUGGACAAUCUUACUAACUAUAAAAAUGAGGAGCAGCAGCAGCAGCAACAUUUUAGCAGCAGCCAUUCCAAACUGCAAAAUAGCCAUGUCCCAUUAGCUCUUGCUUUAUUCCCUAUAUCUGUAAUACGGCAUUGAACUGAGAUCCGAAGUGCAUUGCUACGAUAAUUUGAUUAAACAUUUAUGACGAACUUGAAUCUGUGGGGCUUUUCAGUGCAUUUGAGUAGAUAAAUUAGAAAAUGAAGUAAACAGAGAUUGCGGACAAAUUUCAUCACAAAAGCUGCUCGGUUGACUUCAGAACAAGCCUAGAGAACAUGGUGUGGAGGGCUAGCAGUUUUAGCAGCUGGUCAUAAGAACAAGCUCAGAUGAUAAAGCGAGUUUUAUUGGCUAAACCAGUGGGUGUCAGGUCUGCUGUUAUGCUAAUCUGUUAUUUUCUUGCCAACAAUUCAAAGACUUUGGUUGGUUAGGCACAAAACAGGGAAAGCUGUAUCUAUUUGGUGUCUUUGUACUCAAGUUUCUGCUCAAUUAAUUGUUUUAUCUACAUCAUAAACUAUUUAUCCAAAUGCAAAAGAUCAAAAUGCUCCAGCUAAGUACAUCAGCCCAGCAACAAAUUUUCACUAGUAUGAAACUAUCAACAUUCUACUUUAUGUUCAUCAUUUUCAUUUAUAAGUUUCAAAAAUCAGAAGUUUCUCCAACUUACAAAUUUCUAAGAUGCCACCAUCUUCUUGGAGGAGAUUCUUCAACAAGUUUAUCCAAGGAUAAAGUGGAAGGUCCUUUGUGCUGCUCCGCUGGUUGCCGGUGCAAGAGAGGCGAGGUCUCUGGCGAUGAGUGAUCAGGCGAUGAGAAUGGUGGUGAUGGUGAUAGUGAAGGAGAGAAGGGAUACUUGUGAUUGCCUGGUCCAACACUGAUGGGUAGAGGAGACGGUGGUGUUGGAGGAGAUGAGGAAGGUGAGGAGGCUAAAUCAGGCCUCAUUUGGGGGAUAUGAAGAAGGUGGAGAGAGUUUUCAGCUAGGAUAUUUUCUCAAGGGCUUGAGGUGGUGAAGAGAUUUCCCUUCCCCUUGGCUGAGUUUUCUCCUGCUAUGAGUGAAUGGUUUUUGUUCCUUCUG
rnacentral:lncRNA from 1 species